GUGGGGAAUCUUCCACAAUGGACGAAAGUCUGAUGGAGCAACGCCGCGUGAGUGAAGAAGGGUUUCGGCUCGUAAAGCUCUGUUGUCGGGGACGAAUGUGCAGUAUUUGAAUAAAGUACUGUAAUGACGGUACCUGACGAGGAAGCCACGGCUAACUACGUGCCAGCAGCCGCGGUAAUACGUAGGUGGCAAGCGUUGUCCGGAAUUAUUGGGCGUAAAGGGAGCGCAGGCGGGAAGGUAAGUCGGUCUUAAAAGUGCGGGGCUCAACCCCGUGAUGGGAUCGAAACUAUCUUUCUUGAGUGCAGGAGAGGAAAGUGGAAUUCCUAGUGGAGCGGUGAAAUGCGUAGAUAUUAGGAGGAACACCAGUGGCGAAGGCGACUUUCUGGACUGUAACUGACGCUGAGGCUCGAAAGCCAGGGGAGCGAACGUGAUUAGAUACCCUUGUAGUCC
rnacentral:rRNA from 1 species